UACGAAGGGGGCUAGCGUUGCUCGGAUUGACUGGGCGUAAAGGGCGCGUAGGCGGUUCGUACAGUCAGACGUGAAAUUCCUGGGCUCAACCUGGGGGCUGCGUUUGAUACGUGCGGACUUGAGUGCGGAAGAGGGUCGUGGAAUUCCCAGUGUAGAGGUGAAAUUCGUAGAUAUUGGGAAGAACACCGGUGGCGAAGGCGGCGACCUGGUCCGACACUGACGCUGAGGCGCGAAAGCGUGGGGAGCAAACAGG
rnacentral:rRNA from 1 species